UACAGAGGGUGCGAGCGUUAAUCGGAAUUACUGGGCGUAAAGCGUGCGCAGGCGGUUUUGUAAGUCUGUCGUGAAAGCCCCGGGCUUAACCUGGGAAUUGCGAUGGAGACUGCAAGGCUUGAAUCUGGCAGAGGGGGGUAGAAUUCCACGUGUAGCAGUGAAAUGCGUAGAGAUGUGGAGGAACACCGAUGGCGAAGGCAGCCCCCUGGGUCAAGAUUGACGCUCAUGCACGAAAGCGUGGGGAGCAAACAGG
rnacentral:rRNA from 1 species